CGUACGCUGGCUGGGCUAGACCAGAACAAACGCACGCGCCCAUCUCUCUCGCUCAUGUCUGGUCCUCUCGAUCCCCUUGCGCCGCCGCCACAGACGCUGGCCGAUUCCGGCCGCUCCGGUGAGCUCUAGCGCCGCCCAGCACACCUACGGCUGCUCCUCGAUGAGCUCUGUCUAUUCCUCCGCAUCGAUUUGUUUUCCUCUGCUCCUUGUGGUCGCCCCCUUCAGUUAUGUCUUGCUAGGGUUUCGGUCUUGGUCGUGCUCCUCCUGCUCGCCGGGGGCUCCGCGUGCGCGGCCAAGCUGCCGCCGCCACCGUGCAGCCGGUCGUGCGCGAUGCUCAACUGCGACUCGGUGGGGAUCCGGUACGGCAAGUUCUGCGGCGUGGGGUGGAGCGGGUGCAAGGGGAGGACCCCUACGACGACCUCGAUGCGUGCUGCCGCGAGCACGACAGUUGCCUCGAAAAAAAGGUACAUUGUCACUCAUCCCCUAGAUUCAGAAACCAAAAACAUGGCAUCUGGGUCAAUGGCCGCCAUGAACAAAGAUGUCUUUCCUGCACCGAAUGGCGGCCGGCUAGGAUGCAUCACCACCCAUGGGGCUUAAUUGUGCAUGGUUUUUGAUCUGACAGUUGGUGCGUAGGUGUAUCCUGAGCAGAGCUAUCCCACUGUGUGUUCUUUAGUCCAUCAGAGUUUGGGUUGUGAACUGCCUGUAUUUGUUUCUCUGAUUUAAAGUACGUCUACAGCCCUUGAAGACAUUCUGUAAUGGUAGCUAGAUAAUUUUUUUCUUACUAAUAUAUACGUCUACAGCUUUCCCUGUAACAGCAGCGACAGCAGCCUAUUACUUCACAGUAAACACAUUUAUCUGAUUAUGAGGUUUUAGAUGUGUUUUACAUGUUUGUCAAAUUACUGCGCUUACUGUUAGAACACUCAAUACUGCACCCAAAAAAACAACGUACUGAUAGUUGGUGCCUCGACACACGGUAGCUAAUUCAUACAUAAUUUCUACUGAUCCAUCUAGACUUCUCCUAUGUUAUGUUUUUUUGUUAUUUCCUAGAUACACAUACUGUAAUCUUAAGGACCGGUGAUGCAUGAGGGAGAUCCCAAUUUUUUCAUCACUACUAAUUUUACCAUCUCCACUGAUAUAUCAACAUGACAUAGUGGAGUUUCUCAAUUUCCCUUGGAGAGUUUGUGCUUAGUAUCAAUCUUAUGUCAGACUAGCAAUAUUAUGUAAUAACAUGUAUAGGUACAUGAAGAAGUUGUGAUUUUUAUAUUAAUAUAUGCUAUGGGAACCCGCCACUGCCAAUUCUAGGAUACAUAGAAUAUUCAAAACAUUCACGAAAUAAUUAAUUAGAUAAAUUAGAUUUGUAUCUUAUGGUGAUAUUUCCAUUGAUUUCUUGCUGUAACUUGAAAUGCUGAGUAGACAAUUUUUCAUGAUGUGCAACUAUUUUCAUUUGAAAAAUAUGUACUCACUUUCUAUAUAUAUGUUGCAUAUGCCUGGUUGGACGAUGGAAUAUUGAACUUAUUUGUGCGAGGUGAAAGUUCAAGUACAGCUAAUGGACAGUAAGCUGGAAAUUUAAAGUUAGAGCGCAACCUAUUUUGAUCCGCGUGCAUGUGAUUCUGUUUAUAAUAAGGGUUGGUAUAUAUCUAUAUUUAACAUUUAUUUCCUAAAUACACGUACUAAAAUUUUGUAGAAAAAUACCGAUAAUGAUGGUGGUGUCUGAUUUCCUUGCUAUAGCGCCCCUCCCAGUAAUUUGUUGCAUGUUUGACUGAUACAAUUAUCGUAGACAAAUUAUGAAGACUUAUACUGACUUUUAAUUAGUAAUAAUGUUUCUGAAAUGAAAUUUUCUCCAA